AUGGCCGCCUCCUCCAGCGUCGCGAACUCUGGCCUCUCUGGCCAGAUCACCGAAAAGCUGACCCGCACCAACUUCAUCCUGUGGCGCACGCAGAUCACGCCACAACUCCGAGGUGCGGGCUUCUUCGGCUACGUCGACGGCAGCAUGCCGGAGCCGGCCAAAGUCAUCGUCACGAAGGACAAGGACGGGAAGGAGGAGUCUACACCGAACCCCCUUCAUCCGAUCUGGAUCCGUGAAGAUCAGCAGGUACUAGGAUACCUUCUGAAUAAUCUCUCCAAAGAGGUACUUGUGCAGGUCACAUCGAUCGGCCAUGCCCAUGAUCUCUGGACAGCGCUGUCGAGCAUGUUCUCGUCGCAGUCGUUGUCCCGCGUCAACAACAUACGCGUCGCCCUCGCCAAUGCACGCAAGGGGACGCAAUCUGUGGCAAGCUUCUUCGCGCACAUGCGCUCGCUUGCUGACGAGCUCGCGGCGGUGGGCAAACCGCUCGGUGACGACGAGCUGGCCUCCUACAUCACCGCAGGCCUCGACAUGGAGUACCAGCCGCUCAUCUCCGCGCUCGACGCCCGUACAGAACCGGUCUCCCUCGAAGAUCUGUUCGCGAUGAUGAGCAACUUCGACUAG
rnacentral:rRNA from 1 species